ACACAUGCAGUCGAGCGGCAGCGGGAAGUAGCUUGCUACUUUUGCCGGCGAGCGGCGGACGGGUGAGUAAUGCCUGGGGAUCUGCCCAGUCGAGGGGGAUAACAGUUGGAAACGACUGCUAAUACCGCAUACGCCCUACGGGGGAAAGGAGGGGACCUUCGGGCCUUUCGCGAUUGGAUGAACCCAGGUGGGAUUAGCUAGUUGGUGGGGUAAUGGCUCACCAAGGCGACGAUCCCUAGCUGGUCUGAGAGGAUGAUCAGCCACACUGGAACUGAGACACGGUCCAGACUCCUACGGGAGGCAGCAGUGGGGAAUAUUGCACAAUGGGGGAAAACCUGAUGCACCCCUGCCCCGUGUGUGAAAAAAGGCUUCUGGGUGUAAAACACUUUUUCCGAGGAAGAAAAGUUGGCGCCCAAUACGUGUCAACUGUGACGUUACUCCCCCAAAAAAGCACCCGCUAACUCCGUGCCAGCAGCCCCGGUAAUACGGAGGGUGCAAGCGUUAAUCGGAAUUACUGGGCGUAAAGCGCACGCAGGCGGUUGGAUAAGUUAGAAGUGAAAGCCCCGGGGCUCAACCUGGGAAUUGCAUUUAAAACUGUCCAGCUAGAGUCUUGUAGAGGGGGGUAGAAUUCCAGGUGUAGCGGUGAAAUGCGUAGAGAUCUGGAGGAAUACCGGUGGCGAAAGCGGCCCCCUGGACAAAGACUGACGCUCA
rnacentral:rRNA from 1 species